UACAUAUCCCAGCAUGCAACGUCCCCAGAACUACACCUAGCUGCAUGCCGGGAAAGCUCCUGGGCGUGCUUCCUGGGCAGCCAUGUGCGUACUCUUAACUUCUCGUGGGCUUGCGGGCGCUCCGGACUCUCGCCCCAGCCCUUCGAGCCUGGCCUCCCAGCAAACUCCCCGUCCUUGGGAACCUGGCUUGGAGGAGGGGGGGAGCAAAAAACAAGUGUGAAGUUUGCCUACCCUCCCUCGGUUUGCAGUCCUACCCCCCUCCCCCCAUCCUCCCGCCUGACCCUCUCUAUAUAAGUGACAGUCAUGGCUGUAAAGCUGGGAGGGACCUCGCAGGCGGUUCAGUCUUACGUCCUCCUUUGACAGAUGAAGAAACUGAGGCCCAGAAAGGGUAAAUGACCUGUUAGGAGCAUAAGUCCUGGGCUGGAAGGGACCUCAGAGGUCAUCCAGUUCAGCGCCCCUCAUUUGACAGUAGAGGAAACUGAGGCCCAGAGCAGUGAAGCUACUGGCCCCAAGGUCACACAGCUCCUUUAAAGGGGGGACAGCUCUGUAAUCUCAAUGUCAUUUCCUCCCCCAGCAUGUAGGGAGCACCUGCCGUCAAAGCUGCUUCAUGUCCUCUGGCUGGAAGUCUGUGACACCCUCCCAGAUUCGCUUGGAAGGAAGGCUCGUGACUUUCCCUCUCCUCUCAGGGAAAUUCUGUGCUUGUGAGCUGUCCCAGGCUCACCACCUCAGCUGUGUUACCUUGGGCUGGUCUAGGCAUGCUCAGUUUACCUGGGGUGGAAUGGACUGUAUGCCCUCCUGCUGUGAGCGGGGCAGCCUUCUUGGAUUGACUGCCUUUUGUCUUUAAAACUGGUGAGAUCUUUAGUCUCUUUCCUGCCUUUGUUUCUGCUCUUUUUGGAUGCCAUGAACUGAAUCAUCCUUGUCUUUUACCCUCCCUGAGAAAUGGGCCUGUGUUGUUUCAGGUGCUGGAGGUCAUCCUCAUGGUACUGGGAGUUGGAGCCAGGACGAUAUUGCAG
rnacentral:lncRNA from 1 species